CAGACUGAAUACUGUGCUCACCUGGAACUCUUCAGUGGCAGUGUUUGAAAGAUUGAUGAAGAAACUACCAAGUUGACCUGGCCACUCUGACAUCAGGAGCCCCUAUCUCUUCUGGUCUGUUCUCCAUCCACAUGAGUGUGGAAGGCAGCUGUUAUCGCCGAAAGUUAUAUUGUGAACUUUCUCCUUGACAGAACGUUGAAUUCCAUUACUUGAACAUAUUCAAACGAGGAGCUAUUAAUCUGUUAGUCGGAACCAUCUACAGGUUGGUAAACAGAAAAAGCUGUAGCCUGGGAGGAAGGAGUGCCAUCAAAGCCGCUGGAAAGAAUUUUAAAAAUAAAAAAAAUAAAAAAGUCCUAGAAA